rnacentral:lncRNA from 1 species
UUAAGUAUAUAAGUAAAUAGAAAUCUAUGAAAUUUAAAGACAAGGUUAAUGACCACAAUAGGAAGGUUAGGAUUGAUUUUUGGAGUUUUGGUCCGAACAGUUAAGGAAUAAGGGGCCAAAAUUAAACUUUGUUUGAUUUCAUCAAAAAUUGAAUUAUUGGGGUUCCUUGAUAUGCCGAAUCUUACUGUGUAUUUAGAAUCUUUAUAUUUGGUCACGUUUUCAAAUUGGUCUUCUUAAAGGCCCAAAGGCUCCAAAAUUAAAUUUAGUUUGAUUUAAACAAAAAUUGAAAUCUUGGUAUUUGGGCCCAGUUAUCAAAUAAGUCAGCAUUUAGGUCUCAAGGGUUCAAAUUGAACUUUAUUAGAUUUCUUCAAAAAAUUGAAUUCUUGGGGUUUUUUGAUAUGCUGAAUCUUACCAUGUAUUUUGAUUUUGGAUAUUGGACCAUAAUAGGUAAUGUCAAAUUUAAAAGUUUUUAAGCUCUUAGACCACAUUCAUUCUGUGUCAGAAACCUGUGUUGUGUCACCUAUUUAAUCAUAAUUCAAAUUCAGAGCUGUAUCAAGCUUGAAUAUUGUGUCCUUACUUGCCCCAACUGUUCAGGGUUGACUUCUGCAGUCGUAUAAAGCUGCGCCCUGCAAAGCACCUGGUUUCAUUUUUCGAAUAUACCAUGAUAGCUUCUUUGUCUCUUAAUUUAAAGGUUAUUUUUAGCAUGUUUAUAAAAGUCACUUUAACUAAAAGAUAUGGAUUUCUCUAUAAACAUGAAUUUUGGGAACAAAAACUUAAAAAAUCAGGUCUGGUGAUAUCAAUAACUGUGUUUGUGUAUUUGUUUUGAGGGAUCAAAUAAAUAUUUAUGAUCUA